rnacentral:rRNA from 1 species
GAAAGUAAUGAAGGGCGUACGGUGGAUGCCUAGGCUCUUACAGGCGAUGAAGGACGUGAUAAGCUGCGAAAAGCCGCGGUGAGGCGCAAAUGGCCCUUGACCCGCGGAUCUCCGAAUGGGACAACCCAAUAUCUUGAAGAGAUAUUAUCCCGCCGAUGCGGGAGGCGAACGCGGGGAACUGAAACAUCUUAGUACCCGCAGGAAAAGAAAAUAAAGAAUGAUUCCCCCAGUAGUGGCGAGCGACCGGGGAAGAGCCCAAACCGACGUUGUCUCGGCAUCGUCGGGGUUGUAGGACCGCGCCAUCGCAAGAAAGGCCGUGAGUGGAAGCGACUGGAAAGCCGCGCCAUAGAGGGUGACAGCCCCUUACACGAAGCAGCCCGAAGCGUAGCGGACUCCUGAGUAGCGCGGGACACGAGUAAUCCUGUGUGAAUCCGCCGGGCCCAUCCGGCAAGGCUAAAUACUCGUAAGAGACCGAUAGUGAACCAGUACCGUGAGGGAAAGGUGAAAAGUACCCCUUGCAGGGGAGUGAAAGAGUUCCUGAAACCGUACGCCUACAAGCGGUCGGAGCAUCUUGAAUGAUGUGACGGCGUGCCUUUUGCAUAAUGAACCUACGAGUUGCCGUCACCAGCGAGGUUAAGUGCGAUGACGCACCGAGCCGCAGCGGAAGCGAGUCUUAAAAGGGCGCAAUAGUUGGUGGAGGCAGACGCGAAACCGAGUGAUCUACACUUGUCCAGGAUGAAGUCCCGGUAACACGGGAUGGAGGUCCGCACCAAUAAGCGUUGAAAAGCUUCUGGAUGAGGUGAGUGUAGGAGUGAAAGGCCAAUCAAACUCGGAGAUAGCUCGUACUCCCCGAAAGGCAUUUAGGUGCCGCCUGUGGCGUUCCCGACGUGAGGUAGAGCGACUGAUAGGAUGCGAGGGCUUCACCGCCUAUCAAGUCCUGACAAACUCCGAAUGCACGUCGGCCAAGCCAUGGAGUAAGGGCAUGGGUGCUAAGGUCCGUGCCCGAGAGGAGAAGAAUCCAGACCACCGGCUAAGGUCCCGAAAUACUGGUUAAGUUAGACUAACGCAGUCCGGCCCCCAAGACAGCUAGGAUGUUGGCUUGGAAGCAGCCAUUCAUUCAAAGAGUGCGUAACAGCUCACUAGUCGAGGAGCUGGGCGUGGAUAAUAAUCGGGUAUGAAACCAGUUACCGAAGCCGUGGGAUGCUUAAGCAUCGGUAGGGGAGCAUUGCAUGCGGCUUAGAAGGCGGGGCGUGAGCCCCUCUGGAGCGCAUGGAAACGCAAAUGUAGGUAUAAGUAACGACAAGGGGGGUGGGAUGCCCCCCCGCCGAAAGACCAAGGUUUCCUGAACAACGCUAAUCGGUUCAGGGUCAGUCGGGUCCUAAGCAUAAGCCGUAUGGCGAGGGCGAUGGACGAAACGGUUAAUAUUCCGUUACUGUCUUGGUGUGUGACGCGGCGACGGAGUAGUGACACGGCCGCCUCCUGACGGAAAAGGGGGUUGAAGCGCAAAGGUGUCGAGGAAGGCAGGCAAAUCCACCUUCCGAGCCGAAGCGCGAAAGUACGCCGGGCCCUUUGGGGCAAGGCGAUAGUGCCGGUAAUCAGACUUCCAAGAAAACCCGCUAAACUUCAGCACCAAGUCACCCGUACUCUAAACGGACACACGUGGUCGGGUAGAAUAUACUAAGGCGCUUGGGAGAUUCACGGUUAAGGAACUAGGCAAAUUGACCCCGUACCUUCGGAAUAAGGGGUCCUCGCUUUUGCGAGGCGCAGAGAAUAGGUCCAGGCAACUGUUUAACAAAAACACAGGGCUGUGCAAAUUUGAAAGAAGAAGUAUACAGCCUGACACCUGCCCGGUGCCGGAAGGUUAAGAGGAGAGCUCAUCAGCGAUGAGAAGGCUUGAAUUGAAGCCCCGGUAAACGGCGGCCGUAACUAUAACGGUCCUAAGGUAGCGAAAUUCCUUGUCGGGUAAGUUC